rnacentral:rRNA from 1 species
UACGUAGGGUGCAAGCGUUGUCCGGAAUUAUUGGGCGUAAAGAGCUCGUAGGCGGUUCGUCGCGUCGGCUGUGAAAACCUGAGGCUCAACCUCAGGCCUGCAGUCGAUACGGGCGGACUUGAGUACUGCAGGGGAGACUGGAAUUCCUGGUGUAGCGGUGAAAUGCGCAGAUAUCAGGAGGAACACCGGUGGCGAAGGCGGGUCUCUGGGCAAUAACUGACGCUGAGGAGCGAAAGCGUGGGGAGCGAACAGG